GACGAACCGUGCGAACGUUGUUCGGAAUCACUGGGCUUAAAGGGCGCGUAGGCGGGUCGUCAAGUCAGGAGUGAAAUCCUUCGGCUCAACCGGAGAAGCGCUUUUGAUACUGGCGACCUCGAGGGGUGCAGGGGCAUGUGGAACUUCCGGUGGAGCGGUGAAAUGCGUAGAUAUCGGAAGGAACGCCGGUGGCGAAAGCGACGUGCUGGACACCUUCUGACGCUGAGGCGCGAAAGCCAGGGGAGCAAACGGG
rnacentral:rRNA from 1 species